rnacentral:rRNA from 1 species
GACGAACGCUGGCGGCGUGCUUAACACAUGCAAGUCGAACGGAACUGCGGUUUGGGUGGCGGACGGGUGAGUAACGCGUAGGGAAGUAGCCUCACAGUUAGCGACAACAUAUGGAAACGAAUGCUAAUACAAGAUAUUAUGAUUUUAGGGAAUCGUAGAAUUAUGAAAGCUAUAUGCGCUGUGGAAGAGCUUUGGGUCCCAUUAGCGAGUCGGGGGGGUAUCGGCUCCCCAGGGGGAGGAUGGGUAGCCGGCCGGGGGGGGUGAACGGCCACAAGGGGCCGGGGACACGGCCCUAACUCCUCGGGGGGGCAGCAGUGGGGAAUAUUCGACAAUGGACCAAGAGUCUGAUCCAGCAAUCCUGUGUGCACGAUGAAGUUUUUCGGAAUGUAAAGUGCUUGCAGUUGAGAAGAAAAAAAUGACGGUACCAACAGAAGAAGUGACGGCUAACUACGUG